rnacentral:tRNA from 1 species
UACUGGUUACCUCAGUUGCUAGAGCGCUCCACUGGAAAUGGAGAGGUCCUUGGUUCGAUACCAGGACCAGGCG